GCAUUAAUGGGGUAGUGGUAACCUGGGUCGUUGCCAAUGGAACAUUCGUUUCGACCCGCCGGGAGUUCGAUUCUCUCUUAAUGCA
rfam:Pleurotus ostreatus PC15 unplaced genomic scaffold scaffold_10, whole genome shotgun sequence.